AGGUAAUACAGUUAGGUUUUUGAUGUAAGAUGUUAACUCAAAGACAUACCCAUAUUGAACUCCUGCUGCCAGCGGACUACAGACUGCGUGUGACCGAGAUCGCAAGUCACUGUGUGCAUUGUCCCAUAAUCUUUGCUUUAAAACCUUUUGGGCGCCUUCAUAGCCCAGGUAAUGCAGUUGGGGGGGGGGGAGACAGACCAAUAGAGGUGGCUUUUUUAGCCAUGGUUUUCUGCCAUUUGCUGACAAAUUCCUCAUUGGUCAAAUGUUGGUACAGACCCUUCCCUAGAUUAAACACUGAAAUCCUGAGCCAAUGUUUUAGGGCAGCCCACCAUGCUCUAGCUGAAAUUGGGCAUUCACCAGCUUCCAACAGAAGUACGGAGUUAGGGACGCAGUUAGGUACCUGCAGCAGAGAUUGUAUAAAUUUUGCCUGAAAGCCAUCUAGCUUUGGCAGGUCCCCAUUAUGCCAGACAUUUGCUGCAUACAGGAGUUGGGAAACGGGCUUUGCGUUGAAAACCCUUAAGGCUGCUGGAACAUAUUUGCCACCCUUUGUGAAGAAGAAUCUAUGUAUGGCUAGCUUUGUAAUCUCCGCCUUUUGAAGGGAGGUUUGCCAAUGGUGCUUCCAAGAUCCUGUAUGAUGGAAUGUGAGCCCUAGGUAACUGAAGUAUUUUACCUGUUCAAGGUUAUGGCCAUCCAGCACCCAUUUAGACUGGGAGAAUCUUCUUUCGAAGACUAAAAUUUUAGAUUUUUCAUAAUUAAUGGAUAAACCAUUUCCAGAACAGUAAUCAGAAAAUUUCCUCAACAGAUAAUUCAA